AAGAGUGACGGGCGAUAUGUACAUAUUUUAGAGCUAUAAUCAUAUAACAUAAUUAUACUAUAUUACUAUCAAAUCCAUUUUCAUAAAUAACUUUAAUUAAAUAAUCCAUAAAUAUAUUUAUUGUAACUCAUCAAUUCUUAUCUAUAAACUACACCUUGACUUGAUUUUAUUUUUAAAAAAAAUCAUGAACAUUUUAAUUCUUUAAAAAUAUUCAACUACAGCGAUAUGCAAAUUAACAAAAUAAGUAAUAUAAAUCGUGGAAUAUCAAUUAUAAGACAAGUUCCUCUGAAUAGACUAAAAUACCGCCAAAUUCUUUAAUUUUCAUGAACAUAACAAUUACUAAUUAAUUUAUCAAUUUACAUUUAUAAUAAUAGGGUAUCUAAUCCUAGUCU
rnacentral:rRNA from 1 species